rnacentral:rRNA from 1 species
UGGUGGGUAGUUUGACUGGGGCGGUCUCCUCCUAAAGAGUAACGGAGGAGCACGAAGGUUGGCUAAUCCUGGUCGGACAUCAGGAGGUUAGUGCAAUGGCAUAAGCCAGCUUGACUGCGAGCGUGACGGCGCGAGCAGGUGCGAAAGCAGGUCAUAGUGAUCCGGUGGUUCUGAAUGGAAGGGCCAUCGCUCAACGGAUAAAAGGUACUCCGGGGAUAACAGGCUGAUACCGCCCAAGAGUUCAUAUCGACGGCGGUGUUUGGCACCUCGAUGUCGGCUCAUCACAUCCUGGGGCUGAAGUAGGUCCCAAGGGUAUGGCUGUUCGCCAUUUAAAGU